UCCGGUUUAUCACCGGCGGUUCCCUUAGAGUUCCCGGCUUGACCCGCUGGCAACUAAGGGUAGGGGUUGCGCUCGUUACGGGACUUAACCCAACAUCUCACGACACGAGCUGACGACAGCCAUGCAGCACCUCUAGAGAGACCCUUGCGGGAGUGCUCCUUUCAGAGCCUGUCCUCUCCAGUUCAAACCCAGGUAAGGUUCUUCGCGUUGCGUCGAAUUAAACCACAUGCUCCACCGCUUGUGCGGGCCCCCGUCAAUUCCUUUGAGUUUCAUUCUUGCGAACGUACUCCCCAGGUGGGGUGCUUAAUGCGUUAGCUACGGCACUGAAGGGGUCGAUACCUCCAACACCUAGCACCCAUCGUUUACAGCGUGGACUAC
rnacentral:misc_RNA from 1 species